rnacentral:rRNA from 1 species
AUUGAACGCUGGCGGCAGGCUUAACACAUGCAAGUCGAGCGGAGAUGAGGUGCUUGCACCUUAUCUUAGCGGCGGACGGGUGAGUAAUGCUUAGGAAUCUGCCUAUUAGUGGGGGACAACGUUCCGAAAGGAAUGCUAAUACCGCAUACGCCCUACGGGGGAAAGCAGGGGAUCUUCGGACCUUGCGCUAAUAGAUGAGCCUAAGUCGGAUUAGCUAGUUGGUGGGGUAAAGGCCUACCAAGGCGACGAUCUGUAGCGGGUCUGAGAGGAUGAUCCGCCACACUGGGACUGAGACACGGCCAGACUCCUACGGGAGGCAGCAGUGGGGAAUAUUGGACAAUGGGCGGAAGCCUGAUCCAGCCAUGCCGCGUGUGUGAAGAAGGCCUUUUGGUUGUAAAGCACUUUAAGCGAGGAGGAGGCUACCUGGAUUAAUACUCUAGGAUAGUGGACGUUACUCGCAGAAUAAGCACCGGCUAACUCUGUGCCAGCCGCCGCGGUAAUAC